rnacentral:rRNA from 1 species
GAAACUGCCUGAUGGAGGGGGAUAACUACUGGAAACGGUAGCUAAUACCGCAUAACGUCGCAAGACCAAAGUGGGGGACCUUCGGGCCUCAUGCCAUCAGAUGUGCCCAGAUGGGAUUAGCUAGUAGGUGGGGUAACGGCUCACCUAGGCGACGAUCCCUAGCUGGUCUGAGAGGAUGACCAGCCACACUGGAACUGAGACACGGUCCAGACUCCUACGGGAGGCAGCAGUGGGGAAUAUUGCACAAUGGGCGCAAGCCUGAUGCAGCCAUGCCGCGUGUGUGAAGAAGGCCUUCGGGUUGUAAAGCACUUUCAGCGGGGAGGAAGGCGGUAAGGUUAAUAACCUUAUCGAUUGACGUUACCCGCAGAAGAAGCACCGGCUAACUCCGUGCCAGCAGCCGCGG